GACGAACGCUGGCGGCGUGCUUAACACAUGCAAGUCGAACGGAAAGGCUCCAGCUUGCUGGAGUACUCGAGUGGCGAACGGGUGAGUAACACGUGGGUAAUCUGCCCUGCACUCUGGGAUAAGCCUGGGAAACUGGGUCUAAUACUGGAUAUGACCUUUCUCGUUAUGGGGUUUGGUGGAAAGUUUUUCGGUGUAGGAUGAGCCCGCGGCCUAUCAGCUUGUUGGUGGGGUGAUGGCCUACCAAGGCGACGACGGGUAGCCGGCCUGAGAGGGUGAUCGGCCACAUUGGGACUGAGAUACGGCCCAGACUCCUACGGGAGGCAGCAGUGGGGAAUAUUGCACAAUGGGCGGAAGCCUGAUGCAGCGACGCCGCGUGAGGGAUGACGGCCUUCGGGUUGUAAACCUCUUUCAGCAGGGACGAAGCGUAAGUGACGGUACCUGCAGAAGAAGCACCGGCUAACUAUGUG
rnacentral:rRNA from 1 species